rnacentral:rRNA from 1 species
GAUGAACGCUGGCGGCGUGCCUAAGACAUGCAAGUCGAGUGGGUUUAGGCCCACGGCAAACGGGUGAGUAAUAUCUAGGAAUGUCCCUCUAGUUGAGCAUAACCUACCGAAAGGUAGAGCAAUUCUCAAUGUGAUCGCAAGAUUAAAGUCGCAAGACGCUAGAGAAGCAGCCUGGACACCAUCAGCUAGUUGGUAAGGUAAUGGCUUACCAAGGCUAUGACGGUUAGGGGCCCCGACGAGGGGAAACCCCGACCCA